AAACAUUUCUGAGGGGAAAAUGUUUUUGGUUUAACCUGCUCAAUGCUUUAGGUAAAUAGCUGCAGUAUUUUGACUGUACAAAGGUAGCAUAAUCAUUAGUCUUUUGAUUGGAGGCUUGUAUGAAUGGUUGAACAGGAUAUUACCUUUUUUAACUAUAUGAUAUUUUAAUUUAUAGUUUAUGUAAAAAUGCAUAGUUAUUUAAAAGGGACGAUAAGACCCUAUAGAAUUUAAAAGUAUUUGUGAAAACUUUUUAUUUUUUUGUUGGGGUGACGGUAAAUAAACUUUUACAUAAUUUUCAUUAAUCAAUGGUUAUAUGAUCCUGAUGUUUUAGAUAGAUAGAUAAAAUUACCUUAGGGAUAACAGCAUAAUUUUUUUUAAAAGAUCUUAUUAAUAAAAAGGAUUAUGACCUCGAUGUUGAAAUUAAAAUUAAAAAUUUUGGUGUAGAAGCUUA
rnacentral:rRNA from 1 species